GUUAUCAAGAAAGGUGGAGGGAAUAGACCCUAUGAAGCCUUAGCAACCCUUUGUCACAAAGAAGGUGCUAAAUUCUACUCAUUUUUUAAUUCGGAA
rnacentral:ncRNA from 1 species